CAAUAGCGUAUAUUAACGUUGUUGCAGUUAAAAAGCUCGUAGUUGGAUUUCUGGAGGGAGCGUCGGCCCGUAUUUACGAGUGCGUGACGUCUCUGUCCAUCCUUGCGGGAAGGCACGGCAUUGAUUUGUUGUGUCGGAUCGCAUCAUUUACUGUGAAAAAAUUAGAGUGUUCAAAGCAGGCUUUCGCUUGAAUACAUUAGCAUGGAAUAAUAAGAUAGGACUUUGGUGCUAUUUUGUUGGUUGAGCCUAAAGUAAUGAUUAAUAGGGAUAGUUGGGGGCACCUGUAUUGCGUUGUCAGUGGUGAAAUUCUUGGAUUUACGCAAGACAAACAGCUGCGAAAGCGUCUGCCAAGGAUGUUUUCAUUAA
rnacentral:rRNA from 1 species